UGACCAACUCGAUCUCCUGGUCUCGGCCUUUUCGGAUCUCCUCCUUCAGCUCCCGUUCCCUGGUCAGCAGCCACGCUUCCUGUAGGACACACAGCAGUCAGAGUCUGCCACCAGGAGGACAAGAGGGUAGGAGAGGCGAACAGCAGGGCGCAGCUAGGGAUGAACGACCAAACCCCAAAGCAGCGACAAGUGACACCCAGAAGCCAGCGCCCAGAGAGCCGGGACCGCAGCCCGCCCUGGCUGCUCCUACCUCCUUCUUGGCGCAGCUGGCCACCCACGCCUGCCUCUCGGCCUCCAGCUGAUCCUUCAGGGCUUUCAGCUCCAUCUGGGGUGGGGGGAGAGACACUGUGAGCAGCCCCAGGGCCACUCCAAGGCCCUGCCCGCCCUGCCCGCCCUGCUGAGGGGCCAGGCCAAAGACAGAAGACACCCCCUCCUCCACCGGAGGCUGGAGCAGCUGGCAUUCUGAGGCGGUGGCCAUGCCAACCUGGUGCCUCUGUUCUUGUUCCUCCCGGUUCUUCUCAAACUCGGCGCGCAGGGUUCGAGUCAGCGUCGCACUGCUCUCCUCCAGGUGCUGCCUCAGUUCCUCCAGCUCUGCCCGCUGCCUGCAGGCCAGCAAGAGCCGGGGAACAAGAGUCGGUCAGUGUGAGAGGGGCCGGGCAGGCCGGGGUCACCGUGAGGAGAGCAGCCCUCCCUCGGGAGCACCUGGUUGCCUGCUGGCCCAGCCGCUCCUUCUCUUCAGCCACCUCAUUGAAGAGUCGCCGCCGCUGCUGCUCCAGGGCCCGGUGCUCCUGCUCCAGGUGCUGCUCAAACCUGCAGGGCAGCAAGGACGCAUCCACCAUGGCAGUGGCCACAGCACUCCCUGUCAGUCACCCCGCUGGCCAGGGUGGACACAUGGGCUCCCGGGACCCUCUGCGGUUGGUGGGCUGCGGCCGGCCACCUUCAGCGGCAGCCCCCGAGAAGGCUGUGACACGGCCUCAGCUCGGCUGGGUUUGUGGCUCAGGGUGUCCUCACACUGGCCUCUCUCUGCUUUUAGGCCCCGUCUCAGGUGAGAGCUAGGCACCUGAGCAGGCUCCUGUCAUGGCUGGCGGCCUUGUGCCUCCUGAGAGUGGGAGAGCAUAGGUCAGCCAGGGGUGUUGACGAGGGCCAGUGGGUCACCUAGGAGACUCCAGCCUGGAGGGGCUGUGUGCUGGCCACUGGUGCCUAAGUAAUCCCAUGUCCCUUGGCCACCAGGUCCCAGGCUCUGGCAGCACAGCCUGGUCAUGCCUUAAGAGUGCUGAACCCUAGCUAGAGCUGAGGGAAUGAAUAAGGCUGUGUCCUCUGCAGCAGAGCGGCCUACACAACUCUGUGUGCUCAGCUUAACGAGUCGGGUCAUCUGAGUGUCCACACGGCGAUGUCAUGUGACCCCACAAGGGAAUCUCACUGCCCUGGCCUGGCAGGUGGGCCGCGCACAAGUCCCACACAGCCGGCUACUGUUCCCGGGGGACCGGGGGGCUGCUCUAAGACCCCAGCCUCCAGUGCCCUCCUACCGCUGCUGGGCGCGGUCGCGCUCCUGCCUGCCCAGCGCCUCCUUCUCGCGCUCCAGCUGUUCCCGCAGCUCCUCUGCCUGGCGCAGGUGGCGCUGCGCGGCCUGCUCCUCACGCUGCUGCAGCUCGGCCUCGUGCAGGCCCCUGAGCCUCCUCACCUCUUGCUUGUGCUUGGCAAUGAGUCUCUGGAUCUCUGGCUCCAGACCUGCGGGGACAGGGGCUGCACCAGAGACAGGGCUGCGAGGCCCCUCCCAUCCAGUCACUGCCCCAAAACACAGCAAAGCCGGAUAAACUACGGAGAGACAAGAGGCCAGGACUGCACCCUAGAGCUCCGCCCCCAGGAGUGUCCUGGGGACGCCAUCAGACCACAGUGGCUUUUCCAGCCUUUGGUUCACACGGCUACCCAGCCCCUCGGUGUGCCUCCCAGGGGCACAGUGCGCAGGAUCCUGGAGGAGGAGGACUUAUGAUAAGGCGGUAAGACCACCUAUGUCCACAGCUCCCUCACACACCGACUCUGUCAGCUUAAGGGGCCCUGGUACUUCUUUUCUAUAGCUUUCUCUGGGGUCUGACCUACGUGCCAGUCACCUACGCUCCCCUCAGGCUUCUGUGAACUGACAGCCGGCAGCUGAAACGGCGUUUGCAUCUACCGGCCUCAAGCAGCCUUCACCGGGGCAUCACCCAGGAACAUGCAUGCUCCGUGCCACAGCAUAUGGGACUGAAGUCACCACUCUCUCUGCAGUGUCCCCAGCUACCGCCAGGGCGGGAAGGCCCCCACCUCUGACUGUGAUCUCUUUGAUCUUCUUCGUUUUCUCAUUGAUCCACUUCUCACGGCGGAUUUUCUCAGUGGCGCUCAUGAGUUCUUUGAGUUUCUUAAUCUCCUGGGUAAAGAACACAGGAAGUCAGAAUGCAGAGAUGAGAGGGGCAUCCCGAGUCCCCUGUCCCCUUGCUACCUCAUGGGCCUGUACUCUGCCGAGCUCCUUCCUCUCCCCCAGGUGUGGGGACCACCCUACCACAUGUAUUCCAGGCCCAGGCACUAGGUAGGGUGGCUACAGCCAUGGACUUGCAGAGGUCUCACCCCUGAGAGGGAUGACACCCUCCACUGGAACUGAGGCCAAACUGAAGGGUGGAGAAUGAAGGAGACGUAGGGAGGAAGGGGAGCCCUCCUCCCGGGAGCUGGCAUGCCUUCCCUGCCGACGGACAACAUCGACACGACCUCAACUGACUACAGGGACAGCGCAUGUUUUCUUUUUUCUUUUUUUGGGGGGGGGCGGUUUCGAGACAGGGUUUCUCUGUAUUGUUUUGGAGACUGUCCUGGAACUCGCGCUGUAGACCAGGCUGGCCUUAAACUCACAGAGAUCCUCCUGCCUCUGCCUCCCGAGUGCUGGGAUCAAAGGCGUGCGCCACCAACGCCCAGCGAGCGCAUGUUUUCUUAAAGACACCACCAACAAAAAUGUUAAUGACAGUAAAGAAACUAAAGGUACAAAUGGUUUAUAACCUUGUCUGAACAAUUCUCCCUAAAUCUAAGCAAUAGUCUUCAUAUAUUCAUCUUACAACCAUACUUACAGAAAGAAAAGAAUUUUUUUCCCCAAUACAGGAAUUUCUCUGUGUAGCCCUAGCUGUCCUACAACUCCCUCUGUAGACCAGGUUAGCAUUAAUGGUGUGCACCACCACUGCCCAGCCCAGAAAGAAAUUCUUUAACCCUUAAGCCUUGCACAUUACAUGCUCUAACGAUGCGAGUUAGACAGUUACGGGACCUUGCAUACAUCCACGGUGAAGAAAGCCCGGUUCUGCCUGGAGAAGCCACACUCACACCUAAGAUCUACAAGGAUGGGGGGGUCCCCUCGGGCUGUCAGAGAUGGCCUGGAGCCCCUCACCCCCUUGGGUCUGGGCUCAAGUCUAGGUGGCUUCAGAGACGCCAUGUCUAUGCUCUGGGGAGAAGCAUGGCCAGGUGGCUGAGUCAGACUUUUAAUUGCUGGCCAGUCAGGUGGGAGCUGAGGUGCCUGGUACAUCCAAGAUGGACGGGUUCUGUUACUCAGGACUUUACUGGAGUGGGCCAGGCUUGGACUCCUGGGUCUGUGACCACUGUCCUGUGAGAAGGGCCAGGCAAGCUGUGCAUGUAUGCAUGCUUACCUGGGAUGUGGCAGCCCACACCUCAGGUACACUUCAAGAAAAUGGAGAGGCACCAAAAAGGUUUUAAAAAAAAGCUGGGUGAGGUGGCGCACGCCUUUGAUCCCAGAACCAGGGAGGCAGAGGCAGGCGGAUCUCUGUGAGUUCAAGGCCAGCCUGGUCUACAAAUCGAGGUCCAGGACACCAGGGCCUUUACACAGAGAAACCCUGUCUAAACAAACAAACAAACUCUCAAGAAGCAGGAAAGGGAACGAAGGAAAAGUACUGCGAUCUUUUCACCAGUCCCCUGGACCUGCUAAUCUCAGGCCACGAUGCCGUGCGCCCCAGGAACUUGUUUGUAGGCAGUACCGUCCCGGGAGCUCACCAGUUCAUGCUGCUCCUGCAUCUGGGCCACGCGCUCCUGACACCGCUGGUCCCCAUGCUUCAGCUCGGCCACCACGGCCUCGCACUUCUCAGUCAGAAUCUUCUUGUCCUCGAUCAGCUGUGAUGGGGGUGGGGUGAGGCUCUGGUGUCCACCCCAAGGCACCUCUGCUAGGCCAGCCAGCUGGAGAACCACCCUGGGGCCUCGGCCACAUGGGGCUGUAGCCAGCACUGCCCUGUGGAGGGACAAUGACACCAAGACCAACUCCUGUCACCCCACACAGCCUCCCAGAGCUUUGUCACCUGGUCAAUAAAGGACAAGUGCCGUUG